rnacentral:lncRNA from 1 species
GGAGGAUCCACUUCCAAAACGUCUCACUCACAUGACUAUUGGCAGAAAGCCUCAGUUCCUUGAAAAUGUGGACUUCUCUGCAGGCCUUCUGGAGUGUCCUCCUGACAGCAACUGGCCUUUCCCAGAGAGAGUGAUCCAACAGAGAGAGCAAGUAGGAUAUAGCUGCGCCUUUCAUGACAGCCUCAGAAGCCACAAAUCACCGUGUCUGCUAUGUUUUAUUCAUCAGAAGUGAGUCGCUGAGUCCAACCAUAUUCACAGGGAGGCAAAGUAAGCUCUACCUCUUAAAGGAAAGGAGUAUCCAAGAAUUUGUGGAUAUAUUUUAAAACGGCCACAGAAAGAAGAACAAUCAAGAAACACCUGCUAGUGGCAUGCCAGGCCAGACACACCCAUCGGGGUCUCCUGCAGUCAAGAAGGAGGGGGCCGUGCAAGCUGGGAGGACCUCAGAUGGACAGAAUUCAACUCAUCACAUUUCUUGGUUCUUGACACGCUCUCCUCGUUAGUCCAUCACAUAUUGCACGGAUUCAUUCAUAUCGCUGCAUGUAGGCUGCUUUGACCUGCUGUAGAAUAUCUCAUUGUGUGGAUGCACAUGUGGAUCACUGAGUAUGUCAGAGCUGGCAAGAUACGUCAGAAGAGAAAGGAGAAACUCUUAACUAAAUAGAGUUGGAAAUAAAAUAAUUGUCUGUAUGGAAUAAGAUCAAAGGUCCCACAUGUUAAAGUCAACCCCAGAUGAAUUAAAGUCUUACAUGUCAAAAAAAAUUGAAACUUUUAGAAGAAAAUUAAGGUGGAUAUAUUUUAGACCUUAAGGUAGAGAAAGAUUUCUUAAAGAAGACACUUACAGGAUUGAUUACAAACAAAAAGACUGGUACAUUUGAAUGUAUUAUGUUAAGAACUUUUCCACCAAAAGAAAGCCUCGAUUUCCUCAUUUUUAAGAUGAGGAUAAUAAUCCCUACCUUAUAGAAUUCUAAUAAGAUGAAAUGAAGCAACAUAUACAAAAUACUUAGCACAGAUCCUAACACCUACAAAAUAAUAAAUGGUAACGAUUAUUAUUCUUCUCAAACAACAAUCCUAUUAUUUAUCAAAUAAUACUGAGUAAUAUGACAAGACAUAUUUAAACCACACAAGCCAUAUGCAGACAAGUGUUUAAUAUCAUAGUGAUAGUUUCAAGAGAGAGAUAAUAAUUUAUUCUACAUUUAUCAGAGGUCUAUAGCCCAGUAGUCAAUAAAUACUUAUCUAUAGUCAAUAAGUACUAUCAAGCAUCCAUGCCAGGAACCAUGCUAGGGGCUGAUUAAUUUACAUCAAUCACCAUGACUUUUUUCCCACAAACUAACACACACACAAUCUUCAUAGAUUUUUCUGUGAUCACAGCAAGGAAAAGACCUACGCAUGUUUGGAUCAUCUGUGUACAGUCCUACAGAAGAACUUUGACACUAUCAGAGACAGAAAUCUCAGAAUAGUCCAACUCUCACUUAUUUGUGCUAAUGAAAGAGUAAAGUAAAAGAGACAAUUAAAAUGGGAAAUGUGUUUUGUUUUGUUUUGGUGUUUUGUUUUACAAGUAUGCAAAAACCUCAAAUCAACCUGACCCAACAAUAAGGAAGCAAGUCAGAAAAAGGCAGUCUUCCAGAGCUGUUUGUUCAGCAGCUCAGUAAUGCCAUGAAGGUUUGCUUCCUUUCUCUGCUUUGUGUUUCUGGAGAGAGUCCGCAUACAUUUCAAUAUGGCUGACAGCAGUUCUGGAAUGUAUAAAGCCUUGCAUAAAGAAAAUGACAGUUCACUAUGAAAAUCUGAUUCGGAUGAUGUUGAAAAUAGAUUUAGUGUCUGCUCUGCCUCUCUGUUUUCUAGGACUUCACCACCUCACAGACUUUGUACACUCAUGGUUCACAACUUCCUCACUGUGUUUUCUUUAACGAGUAGAAGAUAAAUAAGCUUUAAGAAAUAGUAAAUUAUAUCAAAAUAGACUUUAUCAUAUAAUUUGCCUAAUUAUGUACCUUCAGUAAGUGUUUAUUGAACUCUGGGGUGUCAACAAUUUUUUAUUCAGCUCUCAUAAGUAAUAUUUGCUUAGAAAUCUACCCAUAAAUAGGAUAACAACUUUCAUAAAACAAGAAUUUAUACCUAGCUAACAUGAAAAAGCUAAACAUCCCUUGAAGUACAAUUCUCCUGAAAAUCAUCCCAAUAUGGUUUAUUGAGGCUGAUGGAUUUGGACACCAGCUCUUAAGAAAAAAGAUAAAGAGGAAAGCUACUGCCUGCCACAACAUAUUCUUUUUCCCAAGAGCUGGUAAGUUUCUUCCAUAUGUGGAAUCCAAUAACGUUCGGAACAUUCUUUUCUCUUUCUGGUAAUGUGAUAUACCCAACGUGGGCCUAUGAUACAAGGAAGGAGAGUAGAUCAGGAGUCAAAAACCACAGGUCCUAGUUCUGGUUCUAUCAUUUCUUUGCUGUGAAAGUCUGGACCAGUGACUUCAUAGCUCUGAGUUUCUGUUGUGUCAUUCUUCAAGUCAGGUCAUCAUUUGCCUUCCCUACUUCACAGGUAGUAUACAGUAAUCUUUUCAAAAGCCCUUUAGAGGACAUAACACAACCUUAUGUUUAUUUUCUGCUAGAGCAUGACUCCCUUGAGGGCUUGGAGCAUGUCUUAAUCAAAUUUGUAUAUUCCACCAUUCCUACCCCAGACCUAUUAUUAGGUGCUCAAUAAAUGUUGAUUUUAAAUGACAGCUGUCAUGAAAUAAAUGAAAACAGAAGCCAACAGUGACGGUUUGAGCUGCCUGCUGGCUGGCAUGUGACACUUAACAUCUAAAGAGUGAUAGUGGCAGCUAAAGUGCGGAAGGAAUCCACUUUAUGAAACUAUCUGAGCAGUGAAGCACUGGAAAUCACAGAGUCUCCUUUUGGCUAUUUUACAUUUAGAUAUGAAAGCUUGUCAGGCUGGGCUGAGAAUAGACAAUGAGAAACUAACACAUUUCAACAGGUUUUGAAUAGUUUCCCAGUGAAGAAUUUUCCUGGCCUCUCUCCACCCUGGUUUUUAUCCCUCUUCUUGGGAGUUAUUUUUCGCAAAUGUACCCCAUGAUUGGCAAAUUUCAGAAGAAUAACUGGGGUUGGCUCAGUUCAGCUCCUCCCCGUCCUUCUCCUGAGUCUGCUUCCAAAGGCAAUCUGCAAGGGAGGAAUAAAGCAACUCAGGGAAGGGAAAAAGAGAUGUGAAGAAGGAAAGAAAUUGGAAGACCCAAAACAACAUGAUGGCUUCAGAAGGUGAACCCAGAGAGCAGGCUGUUUCUGUCCAUGGGAAAGCAGGAUGGUACAGCCCAUAUCUGAUUCAGAAACCAACAGUCAAACCAUUCUCCCCUGAGACUAAAGCAGAGAAUGAAGCCAUUUCCCAGAAAUUUGGGUAUUUAAAAAAUCACCCUGGCCUGGGUUACAGGGUAAUUGUCCCAUAUCUAUGUUUCACCUGCAGAUUCAUGGGACAGAAUUAUUUCCCAAAUCUAGCUCCAUGCUCCUGCCCUGACUUAAGUCAGGGAAUACUUGGUAUGUAGUAGCAUUUAUUAUUUCACGUUCAAAAUAUCUCAAAGCCUUGAAAACUGUAACGUAUUAAACGGAAAUUUGGUAGGCAUUGCUUCGCACAAUCCCAUGAUGCCAGCUUGCUAGCAUGGAUAUGCCCAGGGCACCCUACCAGAUGCUGGACACAAAAGCUCAACAUGGUAGUUCUUCCCUGCAAGGGUUCACAGCCCAGUGGAGGAGAUCGUCAGGUGAGUAAAUCAUCCUACUGUACAGCCACGAUGUGCAGAGGACUCAGAGGAGGGAGUGAAACUGCCACUCCCAGGCCCAUGUCUCAGACCAACCCUUCCCCUCCAGCCAGUUGUGUAGACUGCACCUCUUCUCUCCCUCCUCAGUGAAUACAGGCUAAGGAACGCAGGCUUCUCUUACCCAGGUUCCCUGAACUGCUUUUUUUAGCCCAUCUCAUCUUCUUCUGGUUUUGUUCAAUUUUCUGCCAGCUUUUUUAUCCGGCUCACUUAUCUCCCUUUAUCCCUCAGAACCAUCUCCAGUAAUUCCAUUGACUGGCAGGACAUUUUUCCAUCAGAGAGUAGAGCUGAGCUGCUGCAGUGCCACGGCCACCUCCCAGCAACAACCCCUCCGACCCCAGCAGACCCACUACCUGGCUCUUUCGGUCAGUGGGGACUUUUCAGAUGGUAUCUCUUUUAUUUUAGCUUUUUAAUUUCUGGCUGCCAGGCUUUCUUUUCUUAACUACGUUUGGAGCAGCAUUUUGCACAUCACAGAAGCCAUGCCAGUUUUAAGGUGAGUUAGGAUUCUGCAGGGGAAUCCCAUUAUUUUGAUUCCCUCAUCAAAGCAGGGCUAAGUUUAACCCCUUGCAAAUAUGAAAAUGAAAAGGACAGAGGAGUGUAUUGUCAUGGAAAAGGCACCAAAUUAGUCACCAGGGAACUGGACACAGGUCCCGGCCCCACAACUGACUCUGCCAUGGGAUUUUAGGCAAGACACCUCACCUUUCUGACUCCAAAAUAGUAUGCCUGUUAGUCUUCCUCAUGAUGAAGUUGGAAGAAUCAAAUAUAUUGACUGCUAUAAACAUACCUCAUAAACUGUAAAGCACUGUUCAGUCAACUUAAAGACCCAUGCCAAACCUAGGGACACUGGGCAGCAUGUCCUUCUGAAUAAGCACAUAAGCUCCAUGAGAGCAAGGAUUGGGUCACCUCUUGCUCGCUAUUUACUCCCAGUGCUUAGCACCUGGAAGGAAGGAA